UACGUAGGGGGCAAGCGUUGUCCGGAAUCAUUGGGCGUAAAGCGCGUGUAGGCGGCCCGAUAAGUCCGCUGUGAAAGUCCAGGGCUCAACCCUGGAAUGCCGGUGGAUACUGUCGGGCUAGAGUCCGGAAGAGGCGAGUGGAAUUCCUGGUGUAGCGGUGAAAUGCGCAGAUAUCAGGAGGAACACCGAUGGCGAAGGCAGCUCGCUGGGACGGUACUGACGCUGAGGCGCGAAAGCGUGGGGAGCGAACAGG
rnacentral:rRNA from 1 species